rnacentral:rRNA from 1 species
GACGAACGCUGGCGGCGUGCUUAACACAUGCAAGUCGAACGGAAAGGCCCUGCUUUUGUGGGCUGCUCGAGUGGCGAACGGGUGAGUAACACGUGAGUAACCUGCCCUUGACUUUGGGAUAACUUCAGGAAACUGGGGCUAAUACCGGAUAGGAGCUCCUGCUGCAUGGUGGGGGUUGGAAAGUUUCGGCGGUUGGGGAUGGACUCGCGGCUUAUCAGCUUGUUGGUGGGGUAGUGGCUUACCAAGGCUUUGACGGGUAGCCGGCCUGAGAGGGUGACCGGCCACAUUGGGACUGAGAUACGGCCCAGACUCCUACGGGAGGCAGCAGUGGGGAAUAUUGCACAAUGGGCGGAAGCCUGAUGCAGCAACGCCGCGCGCGGGAUGACGGCCUUCGGGUUGUAAACCGCUUUCGCCUGUGACGAAGCGUGAGUGACGGUAAUGGGUAAAGAAGCACCGGCUAACUACGUG